rnacentral:lncRNA from 1 species
GGGUGUGGUCACGGGGCGGGAUCUACGAAGGAUGCAGGGGCGAGGCCGGGUCUCUGCAGGAUGUGCGGUCGCGGGUCGGAGUCUAUAAAGGUUUUUCAGUGUCCACACUCAGGGUUAUCUCCCAGCAGGAGCAGGGGAAAAUGCCAUGGGUCAUUGCUCUGCCAGGGCCUCCCUGCACAGGUGAGUGAGGAGAUUCUUAGGUCAAGACAAAGCAUAAACAAUCAACCCCAACAGAAAAAUCUUCCGAAGAACAAUUACAAGAAGUAACUCAGGAAAUUUUCCCAAGAGGCAAUCCAGAAGAGUUUGAGUUUCGAUCAGCUUGUAGGACUGAGACAGGAGCAGAACAUUGCUGGAAGAAAUUCACAAUACAGACCAGGAUGAAGUUAUUUCCCCAAAAGAGAGGUUCGAGGCAAGUGGUCAGCUCCCCGUUGAAAAUCACUGUAGCAGACAAAUACCGGGAAUGUAAUAAAUUGGAGAAAAGUUUGUCUCUGGGCACAAAGCCUGUUGUACCUCUGAGGGACAGGCCAGGAAAGAGAGCCAGUGGAUGGAGGAUGGGUGGCUGAGGCUUUCCAUGUGAGUCAUAUCUGAGUGGACAUGGGGCAGUUACCAGUGGGACAAAGCCCCAUGGAUGCCAUGUGUAUGGGAAGUCUUUCAGCAAGAACUCACACCUUACUUGGCAUCAGAUAAUUCAUACUACAGAGAAGCCCUGUGUAUGUAUUAAAUGUGGGGAAAAAAUCACAACUCAAGCCUUAUACAUCAUCAGAAAAUUCACCAUGGAUGGUGAAACCCUAUCUCUACUAAAAACACAAAAAUUAUCUGGGUGUGGUGGUGUAUGCUGGUAAUCCCGGCUACUCAGGAGGCUGAGGCAGAAGAAUUGCUUG